CUAUUCUUUUGGUCUUGUUGGUCGCGUGGAAAAAUAGACAUAAUUUUUAAUGAACACAAAUCUCUCGGUAUUUCAAUUGCUUAGUCUCAGUUCCAAUCGAAACUAAGUAGUAUACAGUCGAGCUAUUGAUUAUCGCUAUACAACAAGUGAAAGAUAUUUUUAUCGAACGAGUCCUGGACUACUGAAUUCUAUUAUAGCUGACAUACGAACAAUCGGUCGGAUAUUACAUUUUUGAAAAGACGUGAAGAUUGAGUGAAGUCAACGAGGUAUUUCCCAAAUUCCUGAAAUUUGCAUAAGCUUUAAACUAUUAGCUCUGCGUUAUUUAAAGGGAUCGUGGCAGUAAAAAUAUAAAGUAUGGCAAAAGCUUGGGAAACUUA